CAAUAGCGUAUAUUAAAGUUGUUGCAGUUAAAAAGCUCGUAGUUGGAUUUCUGGUGGGAGCGAUCGGUCUGGCGCUUAGCGCGAGUACUUGCAUCGUCUCCGGCCAUCCUUGGGGAGAGUCUGUCUGGCAUUAAGUUGUCGGGCAGAGGAUCCUCAUCGUUUACUGUGAAAAAAUUAGAGUGUUCAAAGCAGGCUUAUGCCGUUGAAUAUAUUAGCAUGGAAUAAUAAGAUAGGACUUUGGUACUAUUUUGUUGGUUUGCGCACCAAAGUAAUGAUUAAUAGGGACAGUUGGGGGUAUUCGUAUUCCGUUGUCAGAGGUGAAAUUCUCGGAUUUACGGAAGACGAACUACUGCGAAAGCAUUUACCAAGGAUGUUUUCAUUAA
rnacentral:rRNA from 1 species